CGGCGAACGGGUGAGUAACACGUGAGUAAUCUGCCCUUCACUUGGGGAUAACGUCCAGAAAUGGGUGCUAAUACCCGGUACUCCUGGUCCUGCGCAUGUGGGGUUGGGGAAAGGUUUUUCUGGUGGGGGAUGUGCUCGCGGCCUAUCAGCUUGUUGGUGGGGUAAUGGCCUACCAAGGCUUUGACGGGUAGCCGGCCUGAGAGGGUGACCGGCCACACUGGGACUGAGACACGGCCCAG
rnacentral:rRNA from 1 species